rnacentral:rRNA from 1 species
GAUGAACGCUGGCGGCGUGCCUAACACAUGCAAGUCGAGCGAAGCACUUUACUUGAUUUCUUCGGAUUGAAGGUAUAGUGACUGAGCGGCGGACGGGUGAGUAACGCGUGGGUAACCUGCCUCAUACAGGGGGAUAACAGUUAGAAAUGACUGCUAAUACCGCAUAAGACCACAGCACCGCAUGGUGCGGGGGUAAAAACUCCGGUGGUACAAGAUGGACCCGCGUCUGAUUAGCUAGUUGGAGGGGUAACGGCCCACCAAGGCAACGAUCAGUAGCCGACUUGAGAGAGUGAUCGGCCACAUUGGGACUGAGACACGGCCCAAACUCCUACGGGAGGCAGCAGUAGGGAAUAUUGCACAAUGGGGGAAACCCUGAUGCAGCGACGCCGCGUGAAGGAUGAAGUAUUUCGGUAUGUAAACUUCUAUCAGCAAGGAAGAAAAUGACGGUACUUGACUAAGAAGCCCCGGCUAAAUACGUGCCAGCAGCCGCGGUAAUACGUAUGGGGCAAGCGUUAUCCGGAUUUACUGGGUGUAAAGGGAGCGUAGGCGGUACGGCAAGUCAGAAGUGAAAGCCUGGGGCUCAACCCCGGAAUUGCUUUUGAAACUGUCGAACUAGAGUGUCGGAGGGGUAAGCGGAAUUCCUAGUGUAGCGGUGAAAUGCGUAGAUAUUAGGAGGAACACCGGUGGCGAAGGCGGCUUACUGGACGACCACUGACGCUGAGGCUCGAAAGCGUGGGGAGCAAACAGGAUUAGAUACCCUGGUAGUCCACGCCGUAAACGAAGAAUAAUAGGUGUGGGGGACAAUAGUUUUUUGGUGCCGCCGCAAACGCAUUAAGUAUUCCCCCCGGGGGGACGUUUCGCCAGAAAGAAAAUCAAAAGAAUUGACGGGGACCCCGCACAAGCGGGUGGAGCAUGUUGUUUAAUUUCGAUGCAACCGCGAAAGAACUUUACCCUGCUCUUGACCAUCCCCACUGACCGGGACAGUAAAGUGUCCUUUUUUUUCGAAACAGUGGAGACAGGUGGUGCAUGGUUGUCGUCAGCUCGUGUCGUGAGAUGUUGGGUUAAGUCCCGCAACGAGCGCAACCCUUGUCUUUAGUAGCCAGCAGUCCGGCUGGGCACUCUAGAGAGACUGCCAGGGAUAACCUGGAGGAAGGCGGGGAUGACGUCAAAUCAUCAUGCCCCUUACGAGCAGGGCUACACACGUGCUACAAUGGCGUAAACAAAGGGAAGCGACCCUGUGAAGGUGAGCAAAUCUCAAAAAUAACGUCUCAGUUCGGAUUGUAGUCUGCAACUCGACUACAUGAAGCUGGAAUCGCUAGUAAUCGCGAAUCAGAAUGUCGCGGUGAAUAAGGGCCCGGGUCUUGCAC